rnacentral:rRNA from 1 species
AUUGAACGCUGGCGGCAUGCUUUACACAUGCAAGUCGAACGGUAACAGGCUGCAAGGUGCUGACGAGUGGCGCACGGGUGUGUAAUGCAUCGGAACGUGCCCAGUCGAGGGGGUUAACUACUCGAAAGAGUAGCUAAUACCCCACACGAGCUAUGGAUGAGAGCGGGGGACCGGCAGGGCUCGCGCGACUCGAGCGGACGAUGUUAGACUCGGUAGUUGGCGGGGUAAAGGCUCACCAAGCCCACGAUCUGUAACGAGUCUGAGAGGACGACCAGCCACACUGGUACUGAGACACGGCCCAGACUCCUCCUGGAGGCAGCAGUGGGGAAUUUUGGACGAUGGGCGCAAGCCUGAUCCAGCAAUGCCGCGUGCAGGAAGAAGGCCUUCGGGUUGUAAACUGCUUUUGUACGGAACGAAACGCCUCUGGUUAAUACCCGGGGCUAAUGACGGUACCGUAAGAAUAAGCACCGGCUAACUACGUG